UACGGGAGGCAGCAGUGGGGAAUAUUGCACAAUGGGCGAAAGCCUGAUGCAGCUAUGCCGCGUGUAUGAAGAAGGCCUUAGGGUUGUAAAGUACUUUCAUCGGGGAGGAAAAACAAAACUAAUAAUUUUAUUUCUUGACGUUACCCGAAAAAGAAGCACCGGCUAACUCCGUGCCAGCAGCCGCGGUAAUACGGAGGGUGCUAGCGUUAAUCAGAAUUACUGGGCGUAAAGAGCACGUAGGUGGUUUUUUUAAGUCAGAUGUGAAAUCCCUGGGCUUAACCUAGGAACUGCAUUUUGAAACUGAAAUACUAGAGUAUCGUAGAGGGAGGUAGAAUUCUAGGUGUAGCGGUGAAAUGCGUAGAUAUCUGGAGGAAUACCUGUGGCGAAAGCGGCCUCCUAAACGAAUACUGACACUGAGGUGCGAAAGCGUGGGGAGCGAAACAGGGAUUAGAUA
rnacentral:rRNA from 1 species